rnacentral:rRNA from 1 species
GAUGAACGCUGACAGAAUGCUUAACGCAUGCAAGUCUUUGGCGAAGCUGUGCUUGCACAGCCUAGCCAAGGCGGACGGGUGAGUAACGCGUAAGGAACUUGCCCUGCAGUCAGGGAUAACAGACGGAAACGACUGAUAAGACCUGGUAAAGUCAGGCGGACUCAUGUCCAGCCUGAUGAAAAGAGAUGCUGCAGGAGAGCCUUGCGUCCUAUUAGCUUGUUGGUGGGGUAACGGCCCACCAAGGCGAUGAUAGGUAGCCGGCCUGAGAGGGUGGACGGCCACAAGGGGACUGAGAGACGGCACUGACGCCUACGGGAGGCAGCAGUGGAGAAUAAUGGACAAUGGGCGCAACCCUGAUCCAGCAAUUCUGUGUGCACGAUGAAGGUUGUCGGAUGGUAAAGUGCUUUCAGCAGGGAAGAAAAAAAUGACGGUACCUGCAGAAGAAGCGACGGCUAAAUACGUG